GGUCAGGCUGGGAGAGAGAGACAUCUUUGGGCCAGAAAACUACGAUGCUAGUCAGGUCCUGGGAGAGCUGAGUGCUUCAGUCAUUGUCCGGGCUGCGGCAUCAUCUGGGGCUAGGAAGGUGCGGGCCUAUUUGAAGCAGCCUGCAAAGCUGGACCAGCGAGGAUAGCUGCUUUGAAGCUGUCCAGGAUGCAGAUUUUGGAGGAACAAAACCUGGAAGAUGGUGAGCAGAGUAGGUGUGGUGUAUGGGGCAGAAGAUAAAGUCAUUCCCCAGGAGACACAAAUGAGAGCCACCACUGUAAAGCAAGUUCCUCUAAAUGAAGAAAUAGUAAAAAAGUUACUUUGAAUCAA